UACAGAGGGUGCGAGCGUUAAUCGGAAUUACUGGGCGUAAAGCGUGCGUAGACGGCUAUCUAAGUCGGGUGUGAAAGCCCCGGGCUCAACCUGGGAAUUGCAUUCGAGACUGAAUAGCUAGGGUACGGUAGAGGGAAGCGGAAUUUCCGGUGUAGCGGUGAAAUGCGUAGAUAUCGGAAGGAACAUCAGUGGCGAAAGCGGCUUCCUGGACCAGUACCGACGUUCAGGCACGGAAGCGUGGGGAGCAAACAGG
rnacentral:rRNA from 1 species